UAGUGAUUAAAAUAUAAUUUCGACUUAUAUAACCAUUAGGACACUAU
rnacentral:tRNA from 1 species